UAGCUCAGUUGGUAAAGAAUCUGCCUGCAAUGCAGGAGACCUAGGUUCAAUUCCUGG
rnacentral:tRNA from 1 species